GGCUUCCGUGGUGACCUGCGGAGGAUCAAUA
rnacentral:rRNA from 1 species